rnacentral:tRNA from 1 species
GCCUGGGUGGCUCAGUUGGUUGAGCGGCCGACUUCGGCUCAGGUCAUGACUUUGCGGUCCGUGAGUUCGAGCCUCGCGUCGGGCU